rnacentral:rRNA from 1 species
CGGACGGGUGAGUAACGCGUGAGUAACCUGCCUUACACAAGGGGAUAGCCGUUGGAAACGACGAAUAAUACCCUAUGACAUAAACUCCUCGCAUGAGGAGCUUAUCAAAGAUUUAUAGGUGUAAGAUGGACUCGCGUCUGAUUAGCUAGUUGGUGAGGUAACGGCCCACCAAGGCGACGAUCAGUAGCCGGCUUGAGAGAGUGUACGGCCACAUUGGGACUGAGACACGGCCCAGACUCCUACGGGAGGCAGCAGUC